UUCAUAUUGUCAAGUACGGACUUUUUCUGAACUAUGUUUUCAAGGGAAUCUUGUUUUCCUCUCAUAUUCUCAGAAAAAUGCCAACAGACAAUUGCCUGCAGAAUGACAAAUGGCUCACAUGGCUUGUUGCUCCGCUUUGUUGCUUGGAUCUGAGUGCCCUGUGAUCUGAGGUUUAUGUCUCUUGGCUGCCUCCAUGUCUCACUGUGGUUUUAUAUCCCCUGGCUUUUUGGCAGAAACAAAACUUUUAGAUUUGUCCUCAACUGAAAAUGUUUCAGCUGUGUGUGCAGGCGUCUUCAUGCUAUAGAAGAAGGAAUGGAACUGUGAAUGGUGGGAAAGGCUGAAGGAAGUAAUGGAGACCACGAUGCAGAAGUAGGUGCUCUUGCAAAGCAGUCCCGGGACAGAUAAAGGAAGCAAAGGCAGAGAACCCCAACGCCUUGGACACCUGCGGCUCCAGGUCAGAGAUGCACCUGCUAGUCCUGCCUCUACAGGACCCAACCCAUCAGUUCCUAGCUUGUCCUUCUGGUGAGAAUUGAGCACACUAUACUGUGGACAUAAAGACAAAAACCAGCAAGAAACUGAGCUCGGCUCCCUGGCUCACAUAGACAUGGAACAGAGAUCACAUCUGUGAGUGGAGGAGCCAGACUUUUCAUAUAAGCACAUGUAAAACUUUUGAAGUUGGCUGAUCCAAGAAUAGAUUCAAAUUCUUCAGCCAAGAGUCUAGACCAACUGACUUUUUCCACUUCAUUGCCUAGUUGACCCUUUGGGCCCGGAGCUCACGCACGCAGUUGAAGAUGUCCACCACCCCUUCAUUCUCGGCCAUGUCAAGCAUGGUGUCAAUGGCAAUGAAGCAGCCAGUCCGCCCAGCCCCAGCACUGGAAGAGAGCAAAUGGGUUGACGGAUGGAAGCAAAGAAGGAGAGGAGAGAGAACAGAGGGGAGAUGAAUGACAGGACAGAAACGAGAGUCCUCUGAGCUGUCCCCAAGACAGAGAGUGGUUGGUGGAGCACCACGUUCAAAGGCCGGCAUCUGGCUCCACCUGCAGCUGUUUUCGCAGGAUCGUGAAGCAAGAGUGUCAUGAAACUGGAGCAGCUGACCGUCCGGAGACCCUUGUCAGGGAUCAAGUUUCUUGAUACAUACUUACUUGAUUUCUGGUCACUAGUGGCUUCUUUAGGAGAAUCUCAGACCAAGUAUAAAAUGGUAGGGGAACUCAACGAGACUCUAUGGGCCUUGGCCAGCCCUUUCUAGAUCAGUGCUGGGCUCUGAAACAUCAGUGCUGACCAAGAGGCACGUAAGACAUGUGCCUUACACAUGUGCAGUUUUGGAUGGGAAGGCCGGGCAGCCUGUCAAGGAGGCCCCCUUCCGCUGCGUUUUCACAUCUUGCCUUUCUCAUGGAAACAAGUGUCUUUGUCUAACAAUGUAGAUGUCAAAAGACACACAAAGAGGAAGAGAGAUGGAACAAGACAAAAAAGCAAUAUUGGCUCAUGGUAAAUCCAAGGGGCACAGGCCAGUGCGGACCACUACCUACAACAAUUUGGAAAGUACACCCAUUGGAAGCAGAGUCUUCAUUCAUGAGAAACUUUCAUGGUUUGAAUGAAGUCUGACUUAAGUUUGCUUCAGAACCUACUCCCCAAAAUCCAGAUGCGGGGACUCAAGAGACUUGGCCUCUGUGUCUGGGAGGGAGUAUAGGGGGGGUCACUCGUGUUUUUUUCUUCAAUGUUCAUAUUCACCAUGCUUUAGUAUAAAGAAUCAGCCCAAUUUGGUUCCAAAUUUUGGAACAACUAUCAAUCAAUCAGCGGUGACCAAGUUGCCUAGUGUCCGUUUGUUUGUUAGCUUCAGAUUUCUGAUGCUUUUAACAUACCUCCCUGCAGGGUCCUUGUGAGGACAAAGCUGUGUUUAUUUCAUUUCAGCAUCACAUAGUAAUUGAACACAGGAUAUUUGAAAAGACCCCCUAGGAUUAAAUCCUGGCUCUAUUACUUAUUAGCUGCAUGACCUCGGGCAAAUGACUUAACCUCUCUGGGUUUCAAUACUCAUCUAUAAAAUGAUGUUGAUAAUAAUUAAAAUACUCACUCAUCUAUAAAAUGAUGUUGAUAAUAAUUAAUAGAUCCACCUCACAGCAUUAAUAGCACAAUAUGUAUAAAUUGGAUGAAAUUACAAUUAAAAUGCAUAAUGCAUACAAAUUGCUUUGUGCCUGGAUACAUAGCCAUUUUUUAUUGAGAAAUUAUUACUAUUAUAUUCAACAAAUAUUUAUUGAAAAUCUAAGAUGCAGUAGAUGCUGGUAUUAGGAGUGGGAAUAUGAAAACAAACAAACAUUGUUCCUGUCCUGAAGGAUUAAUAAAUAAUCUGGGGAGGGGGAGAAAGAAAACAUUAAGAGGAGGCAGAGAAUAAUGAUAUAUUAGAGUGCUUACUAUAUGUCAGGCAUUCUCUCUUAGGCACUUAGCCAACCCAUUUGGUAAUAAUUUUCAGAAUGGCCCCAGGAGUGGGUACCACUCUGCUCAGAUGCAUUAAGAUGACCUGCUAAGGAGACACAUACCGGCGUAGAGCCAUCAUGCGCCGAAGUCCUGAUGAUAAACAAACAUUUGCCAUUGUCUUUCUUUCUUUCUCCCUAACCCUUGAUCUGGGUGCUCUUUGGGAUAUAGAGAUGGGGGGCAUUAAUGAUCCAUUGCCCUUUGAUUGCUAUGAGAUAUAAAGCAAAGCAGAAAAUACAUGCAAAACAUUUAGAGAGUCCAGGAUUACCUCCUCAUCCUCACUUGCCUUAUCUGUGAAAUGGGGUUGUGUAGCUACUAUUGCUGGGAAG
rnacentral:lncRNA from 10 species